rnacentral:lncRNA from 1 species
CGUCUAACCACAUUAGUCUGGUACAGUGGGGCCAGCAGCUAAUAAAUCUACAUGGCACAAAGAGGAAGUCAUUUAGCAUUGUCAGCCUCAUUCACAGUCACUUAAGUACUUUGAAUCAAGGAUUCAACCAACUCAGUUGCUGUAGUUGUUAAAAUUCUUGUUAAAAUUAAAAAAGAAAAACUUUGCUUUACCUUCAUCCUUCAUAGGUUAGACUCCAGCUCUACCCUUUGGAAUCUACAUUUCCUACCUCAAGACUGACUAUUCAGAAUCCACUUUAAGUGCACAAGUGAACUGAAAAGAAAGGCUGUGAAUGGGCAUGGAUCCGCAGGCAGAACCAUGUACAGUCUCUUCCAAACAGACUGAGAGCCCUUUAAAUAAAUAGAACCAUGGGUUUCCUCCGACUGCUAUGGAAACAUGUAGGUGCUUCAAAACUGUUUUGGAUGAGAGGACCUCACGAAUAUCAACAUUUUUACAGCCCUUUACCAUCUUGACACUGCACCUUACAAACACCAUAUUGGCGGAGCAGCCUCCUUCUCGAGCCUGCCGACAAAGGCAUCCAGCUUAUUUACGGCAUCUGAGGAUAGCACGCCCUGAAGAGUGAACUUAAUUCUUCGACUGCCAGCUCAGAAUGCAGAGAAGCUAAAAGGUGUGGACAUUAGAAAACAUCUGUGUAAAUCCCAUUCACCAACUUGAUGACUUUCUUGAUGCUCAAAAGGUAGUCCCUGGACCAGCAGUUUGGGAAUCACAAAUAUAGACUCUCAGAUCCACCUCAGACCGACUGAAUCAGAAUCCUCAGUUAAACAGCCUGUGGGAGCACUGCCCCGCGAGGGGAAAACGACAGUGAUUCAUUACAACACUAGAAGCCUGUGUGAUUGUUGGAUUUCUGGAAAACAACCAGGAAACUUUUUCUUUGAUAGUGUUUAUGAUAUACUUAAUAUAUUUAGUGUUAUAGUUGCCUUGUUCUAUAAUAGUUAUUUAGAAAAACAAAAAUACUAGACAUCUGUGCAGACUUUUUCCUUUAUUUCAUGUUUGCACUUUCUUUCUUUUAAUUAGUAUACUUAGUUUCUAAUUCAUCUUCAAGUCCUCUCUGGACACGUGCAUUCAUUCCUUUAUUCAGUAAUCAUUUUGUAUGGUGAUAAUGUACCAAAUACACUGCUGUAUUCUGAGUACGUAAUGGAAAUCGAGACAGUACGGAUUCUUUAUCUCAUAAUACCUAUAGUUUAAUGGUGAAAGAUGGAAACAAAUAAACACAUAAGUGUAAAAUGAGAAAAGAGCUGU